GUAUAAAAGGGUAAAAUUCGUGUUCGCAACUUGUCAGUCGUGCGAUUACAGCGUAAUGGUGAAAAAAGAAGAACCUGUUAAAAAGUUGAUGACAUCGAAUAGAGCAAUAAAGAAUGCUAGGCGGUCUAUCGGUGAAAGAAACUUAUGCCUUUUAAAAACCUUGUGUCA